rnacentral:rRNA from 1 species
UACGUAGGGGCCGAGCGUUGUCCGGAGUUAUUGGGCGUAAAGCGCGCGCAGGCGGCUUCGCGCGCCCGCCGUGAAAGCCCCCGGCUUAACCGGGGAGAGUCGGUGGGGACGGCGGAGCUUGAGGGCGGGAGAGGUCGGUGGAAUUCCCGGUGUAGUGGUGAAAUGCGUAGAGAUCGGGAGGAACACCUGUGGCGAAGGCGGCCGACUGGGCCGACCCGUGACGCUGAGGCGCGAAGGCGUGGGGAGCGAACGGGG